UGGGGAAUCUUGCGCAAUGGGCGAAAGCCUGACGCAGCAACGCCGCGUGCGGGAUGAAGGCCCUCGGGUUGUAAACCGCUUUCAGUGGGGACGAACCAAGACGGUACCCACAGAAGAAGGUCCGGCCAACUACGUGCCAGCAGCCGCGGUAACACGUAGGGACCAAGCGUUGUCCGGAUUCAUUGGGCGUAAAGAGCUCGUAGGCGGCUCAGUAAGUCGGGUGUGAAACCUCCAGGCUCAACCUGGAGACGCCACCCGAUACUGCUGUGGCUAGAGUCCAGUAGGGGAGCGUGGAAUUCCUGGUGUAGCGGUGAAAUGCGCAGAUAUCAGGAGGAACACCAGCGGCGAAAGGCGGCGCUCUGGGCUGGAACUGACGCUGAGGAGCGAAAGCGUGGGGAGCGAACAGGAUUAGAUACCCUGGUAGUCCACGCCGUAAACGUUGGGUACUAGGUGUGGGGUCUUAUCAACGGAUUCCGUGCCGAAGCUAACGCAUUAAGUA
rnacentral:rRNA from 1 species